AGCUUGCUGCUUCGCUGACGAGUGGCGGACGGGUGAGUAAUGUCUGGGAAACUGCCUGAUGGAGGGGGAUAACUACUGGAAACGGUAGCUAAUACCGCAUAAUGUCGCAAGACCAAAGAGGGGGACCUUCGGGCCUCUUGCCAUCGGAUGUGCCCAGAUGGGAUUAGCUUGUUGGUGGGGUAACGGCUCACCAAGGCGACGAUCCCUAGCUGGUCUGAGAGGAUGACCAGCCACACUGGAACUGAGACACGGUCCAGACUCCUACGGGAGGCAGCAGUGGGGAAUAUUGCACAAUGGGCGCAAGCCUGAUGCAGCCAUGC
rnacentral:rRNA from 1 species